rnacentral:rRNA from 1 species
UACGAAGGGGGCUAGCGUUGCUCGGAUUUACUGGGCGUAAAGGGCGCGUAGGCGGAUGUUUAAGUCGGGGGUGAAAGCCCGGGGCUCAACCUCGGAAUUGCCUUCGAUACUGGACAUCUUGAGUACGGGAGAGGUGAGUGGAACUCCGAGUGUAGAGGUGAAAUUCGUAGAUAUUCGGAAGAACACCAGUGGCGAAGGCGGCUCACUGGCCCGGUACUGACGCUGAGGUGCGAAAGCGUGGGGAGCAAACAGG